rnacentral:rRNA from 1 species
AGUACCGUGAGGGAAAGGUGAAAAGUACCCCGGAAGGGGAGUGAAAUAGAACUUGAAACCGUGUGCUUACAAGUAGUCAGAGCCCGUUAAUGGGUGAUGGCGUGCCUUUUGUAGAAUGAACCGGCGAGUUACGAUUUGAUGCAAGGUUAAGCAGUGAAUGUGGAGCCGUAGCGAAAGCGAGUCUGAAUAGGGCGUUGAGUAUUUGGUCGUAGACCCGAAACCAGGUGAUCUACCCAUGACCAGGUUGAAGUUCAGGUAACACUGAAUGGAGGACCGAACCGACUUACGUUGAAAAGUGAGCGGAUGAGUUGUGGGUAGCGGAGAAAUUCCAAUCGAACCUGGAGAUAGCUGGUUCUCUCCGAAAUAGCUUUAGGGCUAGCCUCAAGUGAUGAUUAUUGGAGGUAGAGCACUGUUUGGACGAGGGGCCCUUAUCGGGUUACCGAAUUCAGACAAACUCCGAAUGCCAAUCAAUUUAACUUGGGAGUCAGAACGCGGGUGAUAAGGUCCGUGUUCGAAAGGGAAACAGCCCAGACCACCAGCUAAGGUCCCAAAAUAUAUGUUAAGUGGAAAAGGAUGUGGCGUUGCCCAGACAACUAGGAUGUUGGCUUAGAAGCAGCCAUCAUUUAAAGAGUGCGUAAUAGCUCACUAGUCGAGUGACACUGCGCCGAAAAUGUACCGGGGCUAAACAUAUUACCGAAGCUGUGGAUUGUCCGUAAGGACAAUGGUAGGAGAGCGUUCUAAGGGCGUUGAAGCAUGAUCGCAAGGACAUGUGGAGCGCUUAGAAGUGAGAAUGCCGGUGUGAGUAGCGAAAGACGGGUGAGAAUCCCGUCCACCGAUUGACUAAGGUUUCCAGAGGAAGGCUCGUCCGCUCUGGGUUAGUCGGGUCCUAAGCUGAGGCCGAUAGGCGUAGGCGAUGGAUAACAGGUUGAUAUUCCUGUACCACCAUUAUUCGUUUUAAGCGAUGGGGGGACGCAGUAGGAUAGGCGAAGCGUACGAUUGGAUUGUACGUCCAAGCAGUGAGAUUGAGUGUUAGGCAAAUCCGGCACUCUUAAGAUUGAGCUGUGAUGGGGAGAGGAAAUUGUUUCCUCG